UGGGGAAUAUUGCACAAUGGGCGGAAGCCUGAUGCAGCAACGCCGCGUGAGUGAUGAGGGCCUUCGGGUUGUAAAGCUCUGUCUUUUGGGACGAUAAUGACGGUACCAAAGGAGGAAGCCACGGCUAACUACGUGCCAGCAGCCGCGGUAAUACGUAGGUGGCAAGCGUUGUCCGGAUUUACUAGGGCGUAAAGGAUGCGUAGGCGGAUUUUUAAGUGAGAUGUGAAAACCCUAAGCUUAACUUGGGGACUGCAUUUCAUACUGGAAAUCUAGAGUGCGGGAGAGGAGAAUGGAAUUCCUAGUGUAGCGGUGAAAUGCGUAGAGAUUAGGAAGAACACCAGUGGCGAAGGCGAUUCUCUGGACCGUAACUGACGCUGAGGCAUGAAAGCGUGGGUAGCAAACAGGAUUAGAUACCCUGGUAGUCCACGCCGUAAACGAUGAGUACUAGGUGUAGGAGGUAUCGACCCCUUCUGUGCCGCAGUUAACACAAUAAGUACUCCGCCUGGGGAAGUACGAUCGCAAGAUUAAAAACUCAAAUGAAUUGACGGGGGUCAUAGCUG
rnacentral:rRNA from 1 species